AUGCAAUGCAUGACAAAGAAGUUUCACUCAAUGGAAGAAGGAAUGGAAACGCUUCGUCGUGAGAAUCAGGAUUUACAGACGGAGGUUCGUGAUUUAAACCUGAAAUUAUCUGAGAGCAAUCGGGUCUCACAGCAGAAAGACGAGCACAUUGUAGAGAUCACAAAGGAGCUUCUAACUGUUGAAGGCGCCUUCCAUCAGUCUGAGCAAGCUUAUAAACUCCUAAAUGAAGAGAAAACAGUUUUGAUGGAAGAAAAUCAGGUGUUGGAAAUUCAAGUCCAACAAUUAACAGAGUUGCUGAGUGAGAAGCAGGACGCCAUGAUGCUCCGUGAUCUGAAUAUUGAACCAGCAGUUCAAGAUUAUACCGACGUUUCUGACAACGAAAAUGAACUUCUGGGAAAAACACAGGAGGUCCUCACGCCUGGAGAGAUAACUGAUGGCUUUGAGGACCAGUGCAACUCCUUCAGCCAUGAUAACGUUAGUCUGGAAGAAGGAAACAUGAAUCUGGGAACAGAUGUUCAAAACCCCAACACAGAGCUGAGUGAGAAGCAGGACGCCAUGAAGCUCCGUGAUCCAGCUAUCACACAAGCUGUUGAUCUUAGCACAGAACUGUCCGAUAAUGAAAUUACAUUUGGAAAAACUAGCGUAGAGCUUCGUGAGAAAACCGAGGAGCUCCAACACGCUGGAGAGACCAGUGGUGGCUUUGGGGACCAGAAAGACGAAAGUUUCAGUGUGAAAAAUGGAAACAUGCUGCUAGAGUCUGAAGUCCCAGACCUCACCAAGGAGCUGAGCGACGAAUUGGAAAAAUCUGGAGAUCGGAGCCAAGCAGUCGAUCUUAGCAAUGUAAUUCUGGAAGACGGGAUUGUGAAACCUCCGACCAUCCAUUAUUCUGGCCUGAUGGCUCUAACGGACUUACAGGGAACAUGUCCAAACUCUGCGAAUUCACGGGCAGCAACAUCGCCUCGCAGAGUCAAGGACACGUUUUGGACUGUAUGGCGUAACAAGACCUUAGUUUAUUCUUUACCAGGUUUUUUUAUGUGA
rnacentral:lncRNA from 1 species